CUCCGGUUGAUCCUGCCGGACCUGACUGCUAUCGGAUUGGUACUAAGCCAUGCGAGUCGUUGUAGCAAUACAAGGCGGACGGCUCAGUAACACGUAGUCAACCUAACCUAUGGACGUGGAUAACCUCGGGAAACUGAGAAUAAACCGCGAUAGAUCAUUAUGCCUGGAAUGGCUUAUGGUUCAAACAAUUUAUUGCCGUAGGAUGGGACUGCGGCCUAUCAGCUUGUUGGUGAGGUAAUGGCCCACCAAGGCUAUAACAGGUACGGGCUCUGAGAGGAGAAGCCCGGAGAUGGGUACUGAGACACGGACCCAGGCCCUAUGGGGCGCAGCAGGCGAGAAACCUUAGCAAUGUGCGAAAGCACGACUAGGUUAAUCCGAGUGAUUUCUGUUGAAGAAAUCUUUUGUCAGUCGUAAAACCACAGACGAAUAAGGGGUGGGCAAGUCUGGUGUCAGCCGCCGCGGUAAUACCAGCACCUCGAGUGGUCAGGAGGUUUAUUGGGCCUAAAGCAUCCGUAGCCGGCUACGCAAGUCUCCGGUUAAAUCCAGCUGCUCAACAGAUGGGCUGCCGGAGAUACUACAUAGCUAGGGAGCGGGAGAGGUAGACGGUAUUCUGUGGGUAGGGGUAAAAUCCACUGAUCCAUAGAGGACCACCAGUGGCGAAGGCGGUCUACCAGAACGCGUUCGACGGUGAGGGAUGAAAGCUGGGGGAGCAAACCGGAUUAGAUACCCGGGUAGUCCCAGCUGUAAACGAUGCAAACUCGGUGAUGCAUUGGCUUAUGGCCAAUGCAGUGCCGCAGGGAAGCCGUUAAGUUUGCCGCCUGGGAAGUACGGACGCAAGUCUGAAACUUAAAGGAAUUGGCGGGGAGCA
rnacentral:rRNA from 1 species